GACCUUUUUUUUUUCUUUUUGCAUGCAAAUUUUUUUGGCUGUAAACCUGGUGAGAUACAUUAGUCUUUAAUUUCUUGUUGCCUCUUGAUUCAUAAUAGUAAAAACAUAUGUAGAAGUGGUAAAUAUACUUGGAUUUGGUUGGCAUAUACCAAAUCUGUUGGAACUGAUGUUUAAUACAGCUUUCCUCACAAUUUUGAACUUGUGUGGAGCAUAUGGCCCUGACAAACUAGAGUGGGAUUAAAGAUUUGUUGUUUCAAUGUUGAUAAAGCUUUAAAGGGAUUCAACUUUAAAUUAUUUUAGUUGACACGAAAAGUCAUUAUUAAUUAAUAUUGUUUCCGGAGUCCUAAAUGGGUGGCAUUUGCACUUCUUCUGGGCUAUAUACAGUAUCUAACCCCUUGGUUAUGAAUGCUAUCAGGCAACAAUUUUUGGAACCA
rnacentral:misc_RNA from 1 species